rnacentral:rRNA from 1 species
AUUGAACGCUGGCGGCAGGCCUAACACAUGCAAGUCGAGCGGAUGAAGGGAGCUUGCUCCUGGAUUCAGCGGCGGACGGGUGAGUAAUGCCUAGGAAUCUGCCUGGUAGUGGGGGAUAACGUCCGGAAACGGGCGCUAAUACCGCAUACGUCCUGAGGGAGAAAGUGGGGGAUCUUCGGACCUCACGCUAUCAGAUGAGCCUAGGUCGGAUUAGCUAGUUGGUGGGGUAAAGGCCUACCAAGGCGACGAUCCGUAACUGGUCUGAGAGGAUGAUCAGUCACACUGGACCUGAGACACGGUCCAGACUCCUACGGGAGGCAGCAGUGGGGAAUAUUGGACAAUGGGCGAAAGCCUGAUCCAGCCAUGCCGCGUGUGUGAAGAAGGUCUUCGGAUUGUAAAGCACUUUAAGUUGGGAGGAAGGGCAGUAAGUUAAUACCUUGCUGUUUUGACGUUACCAACAGAAUAAGCACCGGCUACCUUCGU